rnacentral:rRNA from 1 species
UACGUAGGGGGCUAGCGUUGUCCGGAUUUAUUGGGCGUAAAGAGCGUGUAGGCGGCCAUGUAGGUCCGGUGUGAAAACUCGAGGCUUAACCUCGAGAUGUCAUCGGAAACCAUUUGGCUAGAGUCCGGAAGAGGAGAGUGGAAUUCCUGGUGUAGCGGUGAAAUUCGUAGAUAUCGGCAGGAACACCCGUGGCGCAAGCGGCCACCUAGCCCAAUCCUGACGCUGAGGCGCGACAGCGUGGGGAGCGAACGGG